rnacentral:lncRNA from 1 species
CCUGAAUGAAAAUCUGAACAACAUGUAACAAUAUAAAUGCUUCUCUUCCUAAGAUCCAGUGGAAGUUCAGAAACUGGGAGAUAAUUGUGUCCUUGGUAGGGACAGAGUGACACCGUGUGGAAUAAAACAGAACAGAGCUACCCCAUGAGGCAACACAUGCUCUCCCCAGAAGAGCACAACUGGAAACAAACCAGCUUUUCAAGUAACUCACCUAUUUUUUUCCUAAAUUUGCCUUAAAUUACUUAUUGAAAAUGUGAACCAGCAGCAAAGAGAAAAAGCUCACCAAGAUGGCAC